UGGGGAAUAUUGGGCAAUGGGAGAAAUCCUGACCCAGCGACGCCGCGUGAGUGAUGAAGGCCCUCGGGUCGUAAAACUCUUUUAUGCAGGAAGAACACAAUGACGGUACUGCAUGAAUAAGCCCCGGCUAACUACGUGCCAGCAGCCGCGGUAAUACGUGGGGGGCGAGCGUUGUUCGGAAUUACUGGGCGUAAAGGGCGCGCAGGCUGUUAAUCAAGUCAGCUGUUAAAUAUUGCGGCUUAACCGUGAUAUGCAGUUGAAACUGUUUGACUGGAGUAUCGGAGAGGUAAGCGGAAUUCCCAGUGUAGCGGUGAAAUGCGUAGAUAUUGGGAAGAACAUCGGUGGCGAAGGCGGCUUACUGGCCGGUAACUGACGCUGAGGCGCGAAAGCCAGGGUAGCAAACG
rnacentral:rRNA from 1 species